GGGGAAUCUUCCGCAAUGGGCGAAAGCCUGACGGAGCAACGCCGCGUGAGGGAAGAAGGCCUUCGGGUUGUAAACCUCUGUCAUCAAGGAAGAACAGAUGACGGUACUUGGAGAGGAAGCCCCGGCUAACUACGUGCCAGCAGCCGCGGUAAAACGUAGGGGGCGAGCGUUGUCCGGAAUUACUGGGCGUAAAGGGCGCGUAGGUGGUCCAUUAAGUUAGAGGUGAAAGAUCGGGGCUCAACCCCGAGAUUGCCUCUGAUACUGGUGGACUUGAGUGCAGGAGAGGGGAGCGGAAUUCCCAGUGUAGCGGUGAAAUGCGUAGAUAUUGGGAGGAACACCAGUGGCGAAGGCGGCUCUCUGGACUGUAACUGACACUGAGGCGCGAAAGCGUGGGGAGCGAACAGGAUUAGAUACCCUGGUAGUCCACGCCGUAAACGAUGAGUGCUAGGUGUUGCGGGUAUCGACCCCCGCAGUGCCGUAGUUAACACAAUAAGCACUCCGCCUGGGGAGUACGGUCGCAAGACUGAAACUCAAAGGAAUUGACGGGGGCCCGCACAAGCGGUGGAGUAUGUGGUUUAAUUCGACGCAACGCGAAGAACCUUACCAGGGCUUGACAUCCUCUGAAAGCCAUAGAGAUAUGGACCUUACCCUUCGGGGUAACAGAGAGACAGGUGGUGCAUGGUUGUCGUCAGCUCGUGUCGUGAGAUGUUGGGUUAAGUCCCGCAACGAGCGCAACCCCUAACAUUAGUUGCCAGCGAGUAAGGUCGGGAACUCUAAUGUGACUGCCGUUGACAAAACGGAGGAAGGUGGGGAUGACGUCAAAUCAUCAUGCCCCUUAUGUCCUGGGCUACACACGUACUACAAUGGCCGGUACAGACGGAAGCAAAGCCGUGAGGCGGAGCAAAUCUGAGAAAGCCGGUCCCAGUUCGGAUUGUAGUCUGCAACUCGACUACAUGAAGUCGGAAUCGCUAGUAAUCGCAGGUCAGCAUACUGCGGGAAUACGUCCG
rnacentral:rRNA from 1 species